AUUUUACAGGAUGCAAAUAUAUCUUGGUGGGAAUCUGUAUUUGGAUAUAGAUACUCCUAUCUCUCUCUUUUCUUGGUGUCUGGAUGGAAUUCUUUUGAUUUGCACUUGGGCUCUUCUGAAUGGAUCUGCCUGACUACUACUGGACAUGCUGAGGCCUUGUGACAAGUUUACCUAUGGUUGCUGCAAUCGUUACCUGCAACUAACUGUGUUAUCUACUUGUUUCACCCUAUGGUUCUUCCUUGGCCUUUUCAGUGGUUAUAUACACUAUUUGCUCCUGUUUGUAAGCAAUAUGAAGAUUACACAUGUUGUAUUUCUUGAUGGAACUGCUCCUACAGACUUUAUUGCUUUCAAUUCUGCAACAAAUGUAUCUUACUACUAAGGUAGUUGUGAACUGAACUUUUUCUGCAAUGACGCUGCUAUUGAUUUGAUUCCUUCAAUCAAGACUUGAACAUCUUUAUUUAUGAACUAUGUCAUUAUUGGAACAUUCUUUAUUGUAGUGUAUGACGUCAAAUCCACUGUCUUUUGUUUGAAAUAUGUCUGGUAUAUGUCUGGUAGUUUCUUCUGUGUUGGCCCUUAGUGUUUAAUCAUUGGGAUUGUGUCUGACAAAAAGAAAAGAAAGUGGGGGAAUGUGGAGUUAUAAAAUCAUGAUUAGAAUAAAUUAUAAAAUCAUGAUUAGGAAAAUAUACAAUUUCAAAGAAGAAUUACACAUUAAA